GCCAUGACGCGAUUAGCUUAGUCAGUAGAGCAUGAGACUCUCAGCCUCAAGGUCGGGGGUUCCAGCCCCAUGUUUGGGCA